UCUAUCGUGCGUUUACGGGGUAAGUAAAAAGCUUAAAGUCAGGAUUAUGAAUAAUAAGUUAUAAAGUGGUAUAAUAGUCGUAAACAUUUUUUUUCCUGUUAAUUGGUUACCAGUUUUUAUAGAAAUUUAAAAAAAUUUUAGUUGGAAAGAGAGCCAUACUGGUCCUUUAAUAAAUUCUAGAUCGAUAAAAAUGUAAAAUUUUUAAAAAUUUUGUAGACCACAAACCUGUCGAAAUUAAACUUCUACCUGUCUAUAGUUUUUGGAAAAGCUUAUCGAAAAAAAUUAAAGAACACGAAACAUGCAGUGCACAUUUUAAGUGCUUCCAAUACUAGAUAAAAUUAUACAUACUGUUUCUUUUUACUUACUACUUGUUACUAUCUUUAAUGUUUAUUUAUUUAUUUUUAAUUUUUUCUAUUGCUGGCAUAGCGAAUCAAGGCACCACAGACGAGCAACAACAAAUGCUGUUUCAUAAAAAGCAAAUUUUUUGGAAACCUAUGUUGGAAAACAUGCUUGAUAUUAUCUUAUUUCCUUCGUCGAAAAAUCUUGCAUUCCGUGGUUAAGGUACGAAUAGUUCAAGGACCAAUGGAAACUUUUUCUGGGUAUUUGAAUUACCGACUAAAAUGAUACUGUUCUCGAUAAGCUUAUACAAAGAAUACUACUGAAUACUAAGAAUUUACUAGAUUAACGGGAGUCAUUUAACUGCAAUCAUAAUGGUGCUAUCCAAAAUUGGAUGUCCUCUAAAAAUACAACCAUUGCUCUGUAUACUUAGUAUUUUAAUGUUUUAAAGAUGAGAACCCUGAGAUGAGAGAAGAAAACAUUAGUCAAGAGUUCUUAGACUAGACUAAUUUUUGUUUUCUAUACACAAGGAAGACAUUUUCUAGUUAAUUAGACAGGAUCCUAGAUGGAAUAAAGAGGCUGUAAAGGGUGAUUCUAUUUUUUUGAAGAGAUUUUUGAAAAAGGACAUUGUCAAAAUGUCAUACAAAAAUGACAAAAUAUUUGCUGAAAUAGUUUCUGAAAGUGAGAAAAGGAUGAAAAACCUGCAGAAAAACCUGAGGAAGAUGAUAGAAGAAGAGAAACAAAAGCGAUUGUUGAGCAAAAAAAAAAAGAAAGUUACUGGAAAAUGCAGGAGAAGAAAAAGCUUUGAAAAAUUUUGAGCAGAAAUUCUCCAGUGGUUGUAGUGGAACAGAUUAAUACGAUUCAGACUUUGAGACUUCUACUGCAAAGAAAAAAAAGUUGUAUGAUUCAACAAAGAUUUACCUUCAACUCAGUCUGAAUGACUUUUUAAUUAAGUAGAUUCCAUUUAUGACAAGAUAACUAAGUUUAUGUAUAAAAAAGUGAAGAAUAUUAUUAUGAAGUAUAAGUGAAGUUUAAUCUCAUCCUAGUCCAAUUUUUUGGCUAAUAGUGCAGGCCACUAUGUACCUUCGUGUGCACAUACGUGUUACAAGCAAAUUUUUUUUUUGAUAUGAGAUCCUUGUAUAAUAAGGAUUUGAAAAAUGACAGGUGUCACUCGACUUUCAUUUCGCGUGAUAGGUGGUAUGACGUAACUGGUCCUCAUAACAACUAUUUUCUUUUUUAGCAAAUUAAAAUUUUUUUAUACAAAUCGAAAGAGCAUAAAUCAGGUAUUCAAAAUAAUAUAAAAACAUAUGUUGAAAGUUUUUAUUUAAAAAGAUACAGGAGUAAAUAUGUUUUUAUUAAACCGGAGGUAUACCGCUGCUUUGUGAAUAUUUCAUGCUUGACGAUUGAAUUAUUUCAAAUGUUUUGAUAAUGUUAUUUAAUUUUUACAUAAUUCUACUUAUAAGAAUGCAACAAUUCGAAUGAUUUGUAUUUGUUUUUGGCUUUUAAAAACGUUUUUAUACUGUGUUAUUGUUGUUUCACAAAUUAAAUAUUAUUACAAAUGGAGGACGAAGAACGAAAAAAAAAGAAAAAAGACAACAAUUAAGAAUUCUUCCUUAGAAUGAGCACAACCCCAAAUUCUGAUGAUGCUGUUGCAAAUGAUGCUAAAUACCUCUUAAAGUGUUGGGUAACAGUGCAGAGAUCUGUUAAAUUGACAACAACUCAAGGAGAAAUUCAAGAAUUGGAUGAUAUUGGACGGGUUAUCGCCGAUGUAGAAAUCAUUGGUUUAGUCCAUUUGAACUUAAAAGAUGGUUUUGCUAUGGAUAUGAAAAACAUCAAUAAAACUUACAACAACUUAAUUGGAUAUAAUGACCAGACUGAGGUGAAUUAUAAACGUGACUUAAAGAAACUUCUACAAAAUAACGUGGCAGAAAUAAUUUUUUCAAGACCUCCGUGCCGUAGAAAGUCCGUCUGUAGAAAGUCCAGCUUUGCUCUAGCAAAUAUCAAGCAAAGGCGGUAGAUAACUUUAAAAACAAUCCGGAUGAUUAUACAACAAUAAGCAAAUCUCACAUUGCUAAAAAACGGAUCAAGAUUUCAGAGUUUUUCAUGUUACUGAAACACCUUUUUCAGUCGGCCUCGGAUUACAUGUGCAUAAAGAAACCCGUUAAAAGAAGCUGGUGAGCUGCUUGGCGUAUUUUAGACUUUCUAUUUCCUAUGAUAGUGUUAUAAAGAUCGAAAAUCGAUUAGGAAACGCUGUUAUUGAAAACAUAUCAACAAACCGAUGCACAUUUGUACCUCCUAAUAUUGGCAUUCCUUUUUGUAAAAUUGUUUCUGAUCAUGCUUUAGAACAGGAAAACAAGGUUUUGAAGGUAGCAGGUGGAGUGAUUGGUAUUACACAAAGUCCAACGUGCUUAAACCGUUUUUGCCUUAUUGCUCCUGCUUAUCAUAUUCCAUAUCAUAUUGCUCCUGCUUAUCAUAUUCCAUAACUCCAUAUCAAAAAUAUUUUGCGAAAAAAAUAAUAUUGGAUAACAAUUUCGUAAACAACACUACCAAAUGGCUGGAUCUACUAACGAAAGAAUUUCAUCAAAUGUAAAAAAAGUCAUUGAUUCAUUUGAUACUUUUGGCAUCCACUUCAACAAAAAUCAGGUGGUUUUUAAUCUUGUGUCCAAAGCCAUUUUGUCAAAAGAAGUAGCAGAUGAAUUAGUUUAUCAUGGAAAAAUCGAAGAAGAGCUUUACCGUUCUUUUGUUACUGAAAGGUUAAAAAGAAGCAUAUCUAUAUGAUCGCUAAUGAAGAUGAGAAAUCUAAAAACAUUCAUAAAUCAAGCCAAAGUUUUAAAAAUAAAGAUAGAUAAUAAAGUAAUUCAACUAAAAGAAGAGCGCACCUUAUUAUCUCGUUUUCUACUUAGUGCAAGAAAACGCCCAGAGCUUGAUUUGGAAAAAAGCAUUGGUAGCUAUGAGUUUUCAGCUGUACAAAAAUCGAUGUUUACUCAAGAUGGUCGCCCAUUGAUCACCUCUGAUAAAAAAAAAAACUCUGCAUGAAGUUGAAGAUUAGUCAAAAAGAUCAGAGAAUUCGACACAAGAACAAGAAAUCUCAGUAAAUGCAUCAACUACCAUUAUUGAUGGCAUGGUCUUGGUCAAUAAAGUUCAUAAAGAUAACAGUAUUCAAACUUGGAAAGUAACACUUGUUAUUUAUUGUAUUCUUUACUGUAAUAACUUUGUAUGUAUAAUUGAUAAGUUAACUAACAUUGGCUUAUAAUAUUUAAAACGAAUAGUAACAUAUACUAUGAUCAUGCCUAUACGCACGAUAAAAAAACUUGAACAAGAAUAAAACGCACCUCUGACAAUGAAAUCAAAUAUAAAGUAACUGAUGACUCUAUAAUUUGUAACAAGUCGCUAAAGCAGUUAUUGGGGCACAUUGAAACAAAGCAAGCUCUUACCGAAUACCUGGUUGAAUAUACAAAAGCUAAUAUAAGUAGUACAGUUCGCUUCAUUGUAACAUAUUCAAAAACAACAGAAGCAAAUAUGAAGUAUCUAUUUGCAGAAAUGAUGAAUCAUGAUCACGAAGAGGCUGAUACUCUGUUAAUUCUACAUGCUAUUGACGUUGCAAAAGAAAACCCAUUAAAAAAUGUAUUGUGCAUUCACAAGAUACUGACGUUUUUCUACUUUUAAGUCAUUUUUAUCAAGUCCUGCCACGUGUCACAAUUUUCCGAACUGGUAGAGGGGACAAUGAACGAGACAUCUGGAUUCAAAAAUGUUACAAACAAAUUGUUUCUAAACAAGCACAAGCUAUUUUAGGUGCUCCAAGAAAACUUAACGGUCUUGUCACAGAGCACCGCGGAAGUGCAUUUAACCAGGAAGUUCAUGCCUUCCUUACCGUGACGCGAAAUAUGUCCAAAACUCGUUUUAAACCUGGAUCUCCUCUGCUUAUAAAGCAAGCGCUCUAACUACUGCACCACG